CUGGGUAAUGAUUUUUUUUUAAAUAUCGAUUUAAGUUGAAAUGAUAUGACAUAUUUUUAGUAGGAACAGCAACUGGACGUCAUAGGUCAAACGUUGACGUCAUUCGAAUUGUGACGUCAUGCCAGGUAUGCGAUACGGGAUUGCUAUGCGAUACGGGGUAUGCGAUACGGGUUUAGCCAUGCGAUACGGGGUAUGCGAUACAGGGUAGGUG
rnacentral:lncRNA from 1 species